rnacentral:rRNA from 1 species
AUGAGUGAUCAUCAACUAUGCACCGCGAUCCCAUCAGAACUCCGAAGUUAAGCGUGCUUGGGAGAGAGUAUAGCUGAUGGUGACCCGCUGGGAAGUCCUCGUGUUGCAUCCC